rnacentral:rRNA from 1 species
CUUACAAGCUGUGGAAGCACAUUUCUUGUGUGACCGCGUACUUUUUGUAGAACGGGCCAACGAGUUACGUUAAGUAGCAAGGUUAAGCACUUAAGGUGCGGAGCCGUAGCGAAAGCGAGUUUUAACUGAGCGUUCAGUUACUUGACGUAGACCCGAAACCGGGCGACCUACCCAUGAGCAGGAUGAAGCGAAAGUAAAAUUUCGUGGAGGUCCGAACCCACGAGCGUUGAAAAGCUCGGGGAUGACUUGUGGGUAGCGGUGAAAUUCCAAUCGAGCCCGGAGAUAGCUGGUUCUCCCCGAAAUAGCUUUAGGGCUAGCCUCAAGGUGAGAGAUACGGAGGUAGAGCACUGAAUGUCCUAGGGGGUAUUGCACCUACCGAAGACUAUCAAACUCCGAAUGCCGUCAUCUUAUACUUGGGAGUCAGACUGUGGGUGAUAAGAUUCAUAGUCGAAAGGGCAACAGCCCAGAUCGUCAGCUAAGGUCCCUAAAUGUAAGUUAAGUGGUAAAGGAUGUGGGAUUGCACAGACAACCAGGAUGUUGGCUUAGAAGCAGCCACUCAUUCAAAGAGUGCGUAAUAGCUCACUGGUCGAGUGAUCCUGCGCCGAAGAUUUCCGGGGCUAAAACUUACUACCGAAGCUACGGCAUCAGUAAUGAUGGGUAGGGGAGCUUCCCAUACGGGUUGAAGCAUGACCGUAAGGACAUGUGGACAGUAUGGGAGUGAGAAUGUUGGCAUGAGUAGCGAGAUGUGGGUGAGAAUCCCACAGGCCGUAAACCCAAGGUUUCCAGGGGAAGGUUCGUCCGCCCUGGGUUAGUCGGGACCUAAGCUGAGGCCGAAAGGCGUAGGUGAUGGACAACAGGUUGAUAUUCCUGUACUACCGAUAACCGUUUGAGAGAAGGGAUGACACAGUAGGAUAAGCUAAGCACACUGUUGGUUAUGUGUGCCCAAGCAUUGAGGCAGUCAAAGUAGGCAAAUCCGCUUUGAUAAUGCUGGGAUGUGAUGGGGAGCGAAAUUUAGUAGCGAAGUAGCUGAUUUCACACUGUCAAGAAAAGUCUCUAUCGAGGUUAAAGGUACCCGUACCGCAAACCGACACAGGUGGGUGAGGAGAGUAUCCUAAGGCCAGCGAGAGAACUGUUGUUAAGGAACUCGGCAAAAUGACCCCGUAACUUAGGGAUAAGGGGUGCCACCAUCAGGUGGCCGCAGAGAAUAGGCCCAAGCGACUGUUUACCAAAAACAUAGGUUUCUGCUAAGUCGCAAGACGAUGUAUAGGAGCUGACGCCUGCCCGGUGCUGGAAGGUUAAGGGGAUCUGUUAGAGCAAUCGAAGCAGUGAACUUAAGCCCCAGUAAACGGCGGCCGUAACUAUAACGGUCCUAAGGUAGCGAAAUUCCUUGUCGGGUAAGUUCCGACCCGCACGAAAGGCGUAACGAUUUGGGCACUGUCUCAACAACAGACUCGGUGAAAUUGUAAUUCCGGUGAAGAUGCCGGAUACCUGCGACAGGACGGAAAGACCCCAUGGAGCUUUACUGUAGCUUGACAUUGGGUCUUGGUACUACAUGUACAGGAUAGGUGGGAGGCUUUGAAACCAGGACGCCAGUUUUGGCGGAGCCAUCCUUGGGAUACCACCCUUGUAGUACUGGGACUCUAACCAUAGGCCAUGAAUCUGGUCUUGGGACACUGUCA